AGUGCAUGUCAGAGCAAAAACUAAGCCAUGAUGUUGAAGGAAUUGUCCAUAGAGCGCCGAGACAGGAUUGUGACGAGGCACAGAUCUGGGGAAGGUUACCAAAACAUUUCUGCAGCAUUGAAGGUCCCCAAGAACAGUGGCCACCUUCAUCAUUCUUAAAUGGAAGAAGUUUGGAAACACCAAGACUCUUCCUAGAACUGGCCGCCCGGACAAUCGGGGGAGAAGGGUCAUGGCCAGGGAGGACUCCACGGAGCCAGGGCCGGCUGAUAUCCCAGGACGCACUAGAAGGGAGUCUGCCAAGUGGAGGAGUGACAAAGUGAGUUCUGGGCGUACUCCGCCUAGGGAAGGAACCAGGCCUACUCCCCCUGCCGGUCCUGGCAGUGACUCCUAAGGAACCUCCCCUUCCUCUGGUUGGUCCUCUCCACCUGCCCGUUGGACUGAAGCCGGUAUCCGGAUGUGUGGCUGGCCACGGCCCCCAUCUUCUCCAAGAAAGCUCUUCAUAACCGUGACGUGAAUUAGGGGCCACGGUUGUAGACUAUGUCCUCUGGAAGGCCAUAGUGCCUGAAGACCUGCUGGAAGUGUGCCUCAGCAACCUGUAGGGUGGGUAGGGAGACCAGAGAGAGGGAUAAAAUGGUAGGAUUUAGAGAAUCUGUCCACAGCAACCAUAAUAGUGGUGAAACCAUCAGACGGAGGGAGAUCAGUCAAAGAAUCUAUGAAGCAGGAGUUGACAAAGCGGGUGACGUCCUGCGCAAAGGUGGACCAUCAGUACUUUGCAGAGAUGGAUUUAACGGUGCAGGUGUUACCUGGGUGUCCAGCGGUGAGGGAUGUGUGUGCCCAGGUCAACAGUCAGUCUCUUACCCCUGUGGGAACGUAGAUGUGCUCAAGAGGGCAGGUAGCAGGCAAGGGUUCCCUCUCCAGAGCCUGGCGGAUGUCCACAUAUACAUCCCAAAACACGGGGCCAAUGAUACAGGGGGACGGAAUGAUAGGUUGGAGGGCACUUACAAGACUCUCAACUGACAUGGAACCUAGGAAGGGUUUGGCAGAAAACUAUGAUGAUGGAAUACUCAUGCCUACCUUGGGAGAUGGGUGAUCACGGGGCCGCCUCUCCGCUCCAGUGGACCCUGUGUUGGAAGGCACCAGACACAGCUGAAGCUGGUGCCCCUUCUGGCCGCCAUCUGGACACAGCCCCAGCUGUCUCCGGUGACGCUGCUCUGCCACAGAGAGGUGUGUGGCCCCUACCUCCAAGGGUUCAGGAUCUGCCUCAGAACGAACAAAGGAGGAGGGCGAGGAGAGUGAGGUGCCGGCGCUCCAGAAGAAGGUUGUCCAGAUGGAUGGCUAUCGCGAUGAGCAUGCCUAAGGAAAGGUUGUUUUCCCGGCACGUCGAUUGCAUUAGGACCUCCUCGCGCAGUCGUCUACUGAAUAGGGUGCAGUAGACCGGCGAUGUCGAGCGCUGGAGAGAGGGAGUGGGAAUGGAAGUAGGCGUGACAGGAAUGUGAAAUUAUUUAUACUUUUACUUUUGAUACUUAAGUAUAUUUUAGCAAUUACAUUUACUUUUGAUACUUAAGUACAUUUAAAACCAUAUAGAAAAAAAAUACAUUUACUCAAGUAGAAUUUUACUGGUGACUUUUACUUCAGUCAUUUUCAAUUAAGUUAUCUUUUACUUUGACUGAAGUAUGACAAUUGGGUACUUUUUCCACCACUGAGUAUGAUAUAUUUGGGCUUGAAGUGGGGACUUUUUUCUGUGGCAAUGCCGUAUGUUUCCCAUAUGAUAUGAUGGCUAAUACUUUUCAGUCUACGU